CAUUUUAGUAUGCUCUUUCUAGCUGUGGUGAUUUAUUUGCAUCUCCUUGCCUAGUUUUAAAAUUAGUCUAUAAUGGGAAUUGUGUAUUCGAGAGCGGUUUGGGGCUUUGAGAUUGUUUGAAUGUUCAUUUAUUCAAAUUUGGCUAAAUCUAUGCUCUUUUAAUAAUAACUCUAGUAUGUGCCGAUUACAUGAAGCAUUUUCAAGCCUGGGGAUAAACUCGUUUACUGUUGACAGCGUUGGAAUUUGUUCAGUAAAGUAGCCCUCGGCCUGGGGUGCUCGAAACAGGUUUGAAAUUUAAUUUUAACCUCGUUUUUGAACUCAG